AAAAAGGGCUUCUGUCAUGAGUGACACACGUAGGGCAGCUCAUUUGCUCUAUGUGUGGAAUCAACAUCAAGAGAUUUUGGAAGCAUAAUUUUUAUUGUUUGGGCAGCUGGUGAUCGGAGAAAAAAAGAAAGAAAGAGAGAGAGAGAGACAGAGACUUGCAAUUUGCUCCAUGACUUGUGA
rnacentral:snRNA from 1 species